UAGGGAAUCUUCCACAAUGGACGAAAGUCUGAUGGAGCAACGCCGCGUGAGUGAAGAAGGGUUUCGGCUCGUAAAACUCUGUUGUUAAAGAAGAACAUAUCUGAGAGUAACUGUUCAGGUAUUGACGGUAUUUAACCAGAAAGCCACGGCUAACUACUUGUCAG
rnacentral:rRNA from 1 species